rnacentral:misc_RNA from 1 species
GAUGAAGAACGCAGCGAAAUGCGAUACUUGGUGUGAAUUGCAGAAUCCCGUGAACCAUCGAGUCUUUGAACGCAAGUUGCGCCCGAAGCCAUUAGGCCGAGGGCACGCCUGCCUGGGCGUCGCACGUCGUUGCCCCCCCAUCUACUCCUUCGGGAUUGCGGGGGGCGGAUGAUGGCCUCCCGUGCGCCUCGUCGCGCGGUUGGCAUAAAUACCAAGUCCUCGGCGACGCACGCCACGACAAUCGGUGGUUGCGAAACCUCGGUUGCCCGUCGUGUGCGGUCGUCGCGCAUCGAGGGCUCGAAAAAAUUGCCGGGCUCCGGCUCGGCUUUCAACGCGACCCCAGGUCAGGCGGGGUUACCCGCUGAAUUUAAGCAUAUCAAUAAGCGGAGGA